GAUGAACGCUAGCGGAAGGCUUAAUACAUGCAAGUCGAGCGGUAGGUGGCUUCGGCCAUUGAGAGCGGCGCACGGGUGAGUAACGCGUACAUGACCUGCCUGUCAGAAGGGGAUAGCCCUGGGAAACUGGGAUUAAUACCCUAUGGUAUUGAUAUUAUGAAUGAUAUCAAUUAAAGUUGAGGCGCUGACAGAUGGAUGUGCGUCUGAUUAGCUAGUUGGUAGGGUAACGGCCUACCAAGGCGACGAUCAGUAGGGGGCGUGAGAGCGUGGUCCCCCACACGGGUACUGAGACACGGACCCGACUCCUACGGGAGGCAGCAGUAAGGAAUAUUGGUCAAUGCCCGCAAGGGUGAACCAGCCAUUCCGCGUGGAGGAUGAAGGCCCUAUGGGUUGUAAACUUCUUUUAGAUGGGAAGAAAAUGCUAGAUGUAUCUGGUACUGACGGUACCAUCAGAAUAAGCACCGGCUAACUCCGUAGCC
rnacentral:rRNA from 1 species